AAAGCAGUGAAAGAUGCUCCAAGUACCUGGGUUCCUGGGACACACAUCAGAGGAAAAGCUCCUGGUUUCAACCUGGCCACACUCUGGCUAUUGAAGUCAUCUCAAUAAUAUAUAUAUAUAUAUAUAUAAAUACAUAUAAUAAAUUAUAUAAUAUUAUCUGUUUAUAAUUAUAUAUUAUAUAAUAUAUUGUAUGAUAAAUUAUAAUAUAUUUUAUAUAUGAAUAUAUUUAUAUACAUAAAUAUAUAAAUAAAUGUAAAUAUAUAUAUAAGGAAUUUAUUUAUGUAGUUGACAGGUUUACUUACAGAGAGUGAGAAGAAGAGACACAGAAAGGUCUUCCAUAUGCUCAUUUACUCCCCUAAUGACUGCAAUGUCUGCAGCUGGGCCAAUCUGAGCUAGGAGCUUCCAGGUCUCCCAUAUUUUGGCAGGGACCAAAGCACUUGGAACAGCUUCUACUGCUUUCCCAGGCUAUUGCAGAGAGCUGGAUGGGAAAAGGAGAAAUGGGGACUAGAACUGGUGCUCAUAUGGGGUGCCAGCAUUGCAGGUAAAGGAUUACACCACUGCACCACAGUGCUGGCCCCAGUCUAUCCUUUAUUAAGGAGAUCUCAGUAAUCAUGUUCAGGUAUUGCUGUCCUAUAUUCAUGGCCAAAGUCCUAGCAGGCAACAUGGUUUGGAGAAUCAUAAGCACAAGGUGUGUAGGAGACUUCAUUUCUCAUACAGCACAGUUAAUAACAAGGUUCCAAGAGGGGAAAUUACUUGCAUCAUAGUCUUUGAGAACUAAUGGACAUCACAGGUGAUCUAAAGAAUUUAGAAGGUUUGUGAGCCCCUAGAGUGAAAAAGUCACUGGGAGCACAAGGACAGUGCCUAGAGUUUAUUUUGAUGGAUUUUAGCCCCUUUCAUUGGAGGGAGGCCCGAAGAAGCUGGACUGAUUAGUAAACCUCAGAAGUGUCUUUUCAAGGUGAAGGCAAACUGAGACUGAGGGGUUUUUGGAAAAACGUUGAACAAAAGACAUUUCCCACACGUGGUUAAGACACAUCAUUUAUCUACUGAUUUUCAUCAGAUCUGUUAACAUUAGGUAUAAGGUACAGUGGACAUGGUGGAUGGCAUAUAGCAAUAUGAUUUUAGUAAUAUAUCAUGAGGUGCUUUUUUUAAAUGGAUUUAGCAGGUAAAAUUGGGCUACCUAAUGGGAUGUAGCUGGAAUAAUCACCUUUUUGUUAAAUAAAUCUGAGGUAAUAAAUGUUAGUGUAUGAAGACAUUGAGUUUUCUUUUAUUGGGCCUUCUUGGUUAUUUUAAUCUGGGAUCUGCGAAUUCUCAUUUUCUUUAUUUUAUUCCUCAUCAUGUCGGACCAACUCUGCUGCUUUGGGGAUUUUUUUAGUACAUCUGACAUUUGGAAAUUUAGACAAUAGUAUAGUUAAAAUGAGAUGUACCAAGUAAAGUAUUUAUUUUUAUUCUGAUACAUAUUUUGGAAUUCUUCUAAAAUUCCUAUUGAGUAUCCUUGUUAAAUUUAGUUGCAUCCCAGGUUAAGACUUAUUGGAGGCAGGCUCCAUGGCUCAAUAAGCUAAUCCUCCACCUGCGGUGCAGGCACACCAAGUUCUAGUCCUGCUGGGAGAGCCAGAUUCUGUCCCAGUUGCUCCACUUCCAGUCCAGCUCUCUGCUAUGGCCCAGGAGUGCAAUGGAGGAUGGCCAAAGUGCUUGGGCCCCGUACCUGCAUGGGAGACCAGGAGGAAGCACUUGGCUCCUGGCUUUGGAUCAGCGCCAUGUGCCAGCUGCAGCACACUGGCGGCAGCGGUCACUAGGGGGUAAACCAACAGAAAAAGGAAGACCUUUCUCUCUGUCUCUCUCACUGUCCACUCUGCCUGUCAAAAUAAAAAAUAAUUUUUAUAAAAAGACUUAUUGGAGCCACUUUAGUGAUUACACCCAUGAAACUUUGUUAAUAAAUGCAAAUAGAACCUGGGAAAAUUGAUGUAUAUCUUAUGCUGUAGAGACUUAAGAUUGAACAUCUUUUUUAUCUUUUUUAAUUAUAUAAUUUAAAAACAAAUUUUAGAUUUUUUUUUUUACUUUACUAAGUCACAGCUCUGGCCCCAUUAAUAUGACUUAACAAUGUUUUUUCCUCUCAGACUUAUCUCUAUUGUUUCAGUUAACUGCAUGCCUUUUCUUUACAUUCAGAUUCCCUCAGCUGUCAAAGCUUAUUCAUCUUAAUUCUGUUGUUCCUAUUUCCCUCCCUUUUAUUCUGUCCCUAGGCUAAUUGAGAUCAUGAUUCUCCAUUCCUUCUGUGUGGUGUCACAGUAGGCUUGAAGUGUUCUUUUUCUCUUCUGAUUUCUAAAGAAAGAAAUUAUGUAUUCCCCCAGUUUAGAUAUUUUAAUAAUGCACUCUAAAACAAAGGUUAAAUGUUCUUAAUUUGACAAGAAUUUUCGGGGCCAGUGGUGUGGCAUAGUGGGUAGAGCCACCACUUGCAGUGCUGGCAGCUCAUAUGGAUCCAGAUCUCUGCUAUAGCCUGGGAAAGCAGUAGAAGAUGGCCCAAGUCCUGGGCCCCUGCACCCAUGUGGGAGACCUGGAAGAAGCUCCUUGCUCCUGGCUUUGGAUUGGCACAACUCUGGCCAUUGCAGCCAACUGGGGAGAGAACCAGUGGAUGGAAGACCCCUCUCUCUUCUCUGCCUCUCUCUGUGCAACUCUGACUUUCAAAUAAAUAAAUAAAUCUUUAAAAAAAGAUUUUUUUCUAAUUUUAGAUUUGUUCUACUUCAUUGCCACUUCAGGGUGUGUGUAAGGAGUGCAUAUCCAGUUUUUCUAUUUUGGAAUUUGGGGAUUUUGUAUUAGCUCUGCUGUGUAUUCAUUUUUCUUGAGCAUUGGUGAUAUCUUCUCCUUAGUUGUAUUAAGAGAGAGAGCAAUAGCCCUCAUGUCUUUUUAGGUAAGUAAGACAUAUUAAAAACAGAGCAUUCAGUAUACAUUCAUAGUAUUUUGACUUGUUCAAUUGAUUUUCCUGACCUCCCUUGGAUAUUCUUGGUCUUUGCUGUACAACUUUCUAUACUCAUUAAUUCUUUGAUAUUCCCAAAUCCAGAAAAUGAAUGACUCAACAGCUGUGUUCCUGUAUUUGCUGGGACUCAGGGUAAGAAGCAAAGUGGAGGUGUUCAGGAAUCUAAAGUUACAUGCUACAUAGCAAAGCACAUCAUUUCCUAUACAAAGUGACUGGGAAAUCCAGAAUCUUUUGCACACAUAUUGGAUCCUGAACUAUUACUGGACUAUUCAAGUUACACAGAGAAGGAGAGAGAGAGAGAGAGAGCAGUCUUCCAACCGCUGGUUCACUCCCCAUUUGGCCACAAUGGCUGGAGCUCUGCCAAUCCAAAGCCAGGAGCCAGCAGCUUCUUUUGGGUCUCCUAUGCAGGUGCAGGAGCCCAAGGGCCUGGGCCAUCCUCUACUGCUGGAUAGUGCCUGUUUGGAAACUGAGAGAUCAUUGAAGUCUCAAGAUAGAGUACAACUGAUCUUAUCCAAGCCUCCUUUAUCACAUGAGGAUGCUAAAUGCCAAGCCCAGAGAAGUAAAGUGAAUUGUUCAAGGUCACAUAGGUAAGUUGUGGCAGGGAUAAUUCUGUAUUAGCAUUAGGUAUCCUGAUACAUAGGCCACUGUUCUGUCAAUUUUGUACUCCUUCUGGAGUUAAAGAUUCUAAGUUGUGGAAAAUUGAAUUUGGAAAUUUAGUGGUUGCUAUGUUGUUAUGGUGAGAAAUUUCUGUGUAUAGCUAUGAGUUGCUUAAAUUUUAUUCAAUAUAUUUUUCUAGUAUGUUUGCUAUUUAUUUGAAAUGUAUAACAAGUAGCUUCAUCUAUUUGCCAAAAGAAUUUUUAAAGAUUUAUUUAUAUUAUUUGAAAGUCAGAAUUACACAGAGAGAGAAGGACAGGCAGAGAGAGUGGUCUUCCAUUCACUGGUUCACUCCACAGUUGGCCUCCAUGGCUGGAGCUGUGCUGACUGGAAGGCAGGAGCCAGGAGCCUCUUCCUGGUCUCCUAUGCAGGUGCAGGGGCCCAAGGACUUGCACCAUUUUAUAGUGUUUCCCAGGCCAUAGCAGAGAGCUGGAUAGGAAGUGGAGCAGCCAGGUCUUGAACUGAUGCCCCUAUGGAAUACCAGCACUGCAGGUGGCAGCCUCACCCACUAUGCCACAGUGCCAGCCCUUGCCAAAAGAAUUUAUAGAAGCUAUUCCAUAUAUACACUUAACAAUUAUUUAGUUACUUGACAUGAACUAUCCCUGCAUAUUUGAAAAUUUUGAAUGGUAUCACUUGGGUUUUAAGAAUGUUAUAUUUUAGGUCUCUUAAUAUUUUUAGUGAUGAUGUUUUAAAGGCCCUUUCUGUUUUAUGAAAAAUGAUAAGGAUUUUGUUUUACAAUGGCCAUAGUAUUACUACUUAAAGCAAUAGAUUAAAUAAAACUUUUAAACAAAGUCAUUUAAUACUGAAUUCUAACACACUGGUAUAUUUUAAAGUGAGAAGCCGGAUUUCUUUCAGAUAUUCUAAAGAAGAAUGAUAAUCAAAAUUGAAGACAUCUACAGUUUUUAAUCACUUGUUUUAAAUAUUGGUCAUAAUGGUCCAAUUUUGAGUUUAAUUUUAAUUAGCUUUUAAAUGAUUCAAUAUGUUUUAUAGAAAAAAUUCGGAGAACAUAAUUAUAUACUCAACCUCCCUCCCUUCUUUUUCCUUCUUUGUCAUUUUUUUUAGCUUAUGAAAUGACAUUUUCAGUUUACAUUACAUUAAAAAGGGUUCUUGAAUCAAGGGACAAGUUUAACAGGCAAAAAGCAAAAAGAUCGUAAUUUAGAGGGAAUAUAGACAAUGGCUCUAAACAAUAUUUGAAUAUCACAUCUAAACAAUAUUUGAAUAAAUUGAUAAAUAUUUUAAUUUCUCCUACUAAAAUGCUCAAAGUCUUUAAUUAUUUAUCAAAUAUUAGUGCAAAAUUAUGGAUUUAAAUGAUCCCAAAAAGUGAUGAAUUUUUGUGUAAUAAAGUCCAAUUUUUGUCAAGGCUUUUUGACAGUCUCACAGAAAACUUAUGUUUGUGAAUGGGAAGAAUAAUACCAAAAUAUCCAUACUACCAAAAGCAAUUUGCAAAUUCAAUGUAAUCCCAAUCAACAUACCAACGAUGUUCUCAGAGCUAGAAAAAAUGAUGCUAAAAUUCACAUAGAAACAUGAGAGAUGCUUAACAUCUAAAGCAAUAUUAUAAAGCAAAAAAAAGCUGGAGACAUCACACCAUAUUUUAAGACAUAUUACAGGGGUCAGCACUAUGACAAAGCAGGUAAAGUCACCGUCUGCAGUGCCGGCAUCUCAUAUGGGUGCCAGUAUGUUUCCCAGCUGCUCCACUUCUUAUACCCCUCUCUGGUAUAGCCUGAGAAAAAAGUAGAAAAUGGCCAAAGUCUUUGGGCCCCUGCACCUGCAUAGAGACCUGGAAGAAGCUCCUGACACUUGGAUUCAGAUCAACAGAGCUCCGGCCAUUGUGACCAUUUGGGGAGUAAACCAGUGGAUGGAAGACCUCUCUCUCUCUCUGCCUCUACCUCUCUGUAACUCUGCCUUUCAAAUAAAUAUACUGCAAAAAAAAAAGAAGAAGUGUUAGCACUGAUAUAAUAACAGACACAUAGUUCAAUGGAAAAGACUUGGUAGCAUAGAAAUAAACCCAAAUUUCUACCAGCAACUCAUAUUUAACAAAGGAACUAAAAUGAACUGGAGAAAGAAGAAUCUCUUUCACAAGUGGUGCAGAGGAACUUGAUUAUCCAUAUGUAGAAGCCUGAAAAGAGACUCCAACAUCUCUUACACUAUGUGAAAGUGAACUCACAGUGAAUUAAAAUGUAAUCAUAAGACCCAAACCCAAGUAAACAUAGGGAAACUCUAAAUAUUGUCAACACACAAUAGCUUUUGGGUAAGAUUCCAAUAGCAAUAGUCACAAAAAUAAAAACAGAGACAUUUGAGUAUAUCCAACUAAGAUACUUCUUCACAACAAAGUAAACAUCAGAGUGUAGAUACAAUGAACAGAUGGCAGGAAAAAUUAAAACUCUGAAUGUUUACAGAUUUCCAGAACAUUUACAUGAAUUGGAAAAACUCCAAAAAAUACAGUGAAGAAACAGGCAAGGAUCUGAAUAGACAUUUCUCAGAAGAAAUGUACAUGGUCAAAACAUGUGAAUAUGCCCGAUGUCACUAGCCAUUAUGUAAAUAUAAAUCAGAACACCAUAUCAGUCUCCAACACCUGUGGGAGAAUACAACACUCAGGUGUUUGUGUGUGCAGCAAGUGGGUUUAGAGGACCCUGUUCACCUCUGGAGAGCAGAGCCUACAGGGAGGUAAAGAAACCUUACUGCGCAGGGGCAUGCUAAUCUUCUCUGUAUCAUUCCAAUUUUAGUAUAUGUGCUGCCGAAGCGAGCACAUGUGCUGCCGAAGCGAGAAAGAGAUGAAAAGAAUUUAUCUCAGCUAGCCACUAAUAUUCAAGAAACAAGGUCUUCAGGAAAGCCAACUCAACUGACAUUUUCAUGUCAUUGUUAAAUAAAGGAAAAAUUAUCUAGGUUCAGCAAUACGUAGUUUAUAAGAGAAAGACUACAGAGUAAUUUCCUUGGCAUAGAAAUAACUUUUUUUUUUUUUUUUUUUUUUUUUUAUC